AAAAGUUUGGCAAUGAAAAAAGAAGUUAUAAAUUGUAAUGAUCCUAAAAUAUACAUCAAUUAUUUGACAGAUGCCCAUGUUAUGUGGAUCCACAGCCAUACUGUAAGAUGGUUCAGAAUCCUGCCUCCAAGUGCUGCAUGAAACCCUCGUGCAAUGCUUGUUCACAAACACCUACACCACAGACAUACACACCAGAUUUGCAAUGCAUGCUACUAUCCCACAAGGCUGUGGACUGGUUCCUGACCCAAAAGAGCCCUCGUGCUGCUGGGUACCAAGUUGUUUGAUCCCUCCGAAACAAACCAUUGGUACAGUGGUUGCUCCUGAACCUACUGGAACGGUAACAGCUGCUUGUAUAUAAAAUGGUCAAGUCUACAAAUAAGGGGCUGCAUCAUCAGGACAGAUGAGUGUAAAUAUAAUUGUGAAUGUAUAGAUGUAAUGGUGGACAGUACAAGUGUACAGAAAGGUGUGCUGUAUGUGACCUUGACUCGCCUUGCUGCAACCUUGACACUCCUUACUGCAACCUUUACACCCCUUGCUGCGACAUUGACACUCCUGCAAAGUUGUUUCCCUGCAUGUAUCCAGACACAUGAAGGGCUGGUGGCUAUGUUCUCAUACUGAUGCUAAUCCAUAUUUUGUUUACAAUACUUACCUCCUUAUACGAGUUCAAUGUAUUUGGAUAUGUUCAUCCAAAAGAGUGUGAUUCAAAUGAUUAAAUAAUGGGUUUCUUGCAGCUUUAUCUGGCACCACUAAUGUCAACUAGAUUCUACUUUGACAGUAAAUAAAUCAUAAUUCAUAUUCCAAUCUUCCAGACUGAAGUGUUUACAUAUUUAUAUGCCACUAUGUUCUGGUGUGUUUGUUUCAGUGCCAUCAUGUAGGUGAUAUGCACUAUAUUUAAAAACUGCAUAUAUAAACUUUGAAUGAAGAUUUUACAUCUGAUUUCUAAAUCCGACCUUAGAUGUUAUUAGAAAUAACAUUUUCACAGCAGUAACUACUUAAUACUUUAUUCUAACAUAAAACUGCUGUUAUUGUCACUUUUCGGGGGUUUUUUAACAGGAGAGAAAACAUGUGUUAACAAGGAGAUUCUCGCGCUUGCGUGCUGUUAUAACACCAUUUUAUAUAUGUGCGUUCCGUGGCAAAGCGUAAACGCCAUUCGGCCCCAAAAUGGAUAAUUCAAAACAAAAUGACGUCAACCUAAAAAACAACUCAGGCAUUCCCGCGCAUUUCGUGGAAAUUUAAUGACAUUGAGUGACAUUGUAUAUUGCUCAUGUAGCAUUGCCUAGUGGACCUCUACAAAAUAUAUUCAAAUCCUGACCCCCGGGGUCAAAAUUGACCCCGUCCCAUGGGUCACUUGAUUUUACAUAGGAAAAUCUUCAAAAAUUUUCUAAAAAUAAACCAGAAGGCCUAGAGCUUAGAUAUUUGAUGUGUAGCAUUGCCUAGUGGACCUCUACAAAGUUUGUUCAAAUCAUGACCCCCAGGGUCGAAAUUGACCCCGCCCCAGGGGUCAUUUGAUUUUACAUAGGAAAAUCUUCAAAAAUUGUCUAAAAAUAAACCAGAAGGCCUAGAGCUUAGAUAUUUGACAUGUAGCAUUGCCUAGUAGACUUCUACAAAAUUUGUUCAAAUCAUAACCCCCGGGGUAAAAUUGACCCCACCCCCUGGGAUUACUUGAUUUUACAUAGAAAAAUCUUCAAAAUUUUCUAAAAAUAAACCAGAAGACCUAGAUCUUAGAUAUUUGACCUGUAGUAUUGCCUAGUAGACUUCUACAAAAUUUGUUCAAAUCAUGACCCCGGGGUAAAAUUGGCCCCGGGGUUACUUGAUUGUACAUAGAAAAAUCUUCAAAAUUUUCUAAAAAUAAACCAGAAGGCCUAGAGCUGAGAUAUUUCAUAUGUAGCACUGCCUGGUGGACCUCUUCAAAAUUUGUUCAAAUCAUGAUCCCCGGGAUAAAAUUGGCCCCGCCCCAUGGGGUUACUUGAUUGUACAUCGGAAAAUCUUCCUAAAAAAUUCUAAAAAUCAUCAAUUUGACAUCUAAAACAUGUGGCUCAUAUUACUCAGGUGAGCGAUCCAGGGUCAUAAUGACCCUCUUGUUUUGUAUACACAUUAAAAUAACAAGAUGUGAAUAAAAUCUAGUAAUACAGACAUUACAAGUUGUUAACAAAAUAUAUUUUUCAUACAAGCUUGUAAAUUUAUUGUCAGUAACAUAAUGUCAUAGUUCUUAUGUGACAUCAAGUGAAACAUCUAUGUGAGCAUAAUGUCAUAGUUCUUAUGUGACUUCAAAUGAAAUGUCUUUGUGAGCAUAAUGUCACAGUUCUUAUGUGAGAGCAAGUGAAAUGUCUGUGUGAGCAAAAUGAUAUUGUUCUUAUGUGACAACAAGUGAAAUGUCAUAGUUCUGAUGUGACAAUGUAUGAAAUGUCUGUGUGAGCAUAAUGUCAUAAUUCUUAUGUGACAACAAGUGAAAUAUCUUUGUGAGCACAAUGUCAUAAUUCUUAUGAGACAUCAAGUGAAAUGUCUGUGUGAGCAUAAUGUCAUAGUUCUUAUGUGAUGUCAAAUGAAAUGUCUGUGUGAGCAUAAUGUCAUAGUUCUUAUGUGAUGUCAAAUGAAAUGUCUGUGAGAGCAUAAUGUCAUAGUUCUUUUGUGGUGUCAAAUGAAAUGUCUGUGUGAGCAUAAUGUCAUAGUUCUUAUGAGACAUCAAGUGAAAUGUCUGUGUGAGCACAAUGUCAUAGUUCUUAUGUGAUAUCAAAUGAAAUGUCUUUGUGAGCAUAAUGUCAUAGUUCUUAUGUGACUUCAAGUGAAAUGCCUGUGUGAGCACAAUGUCAUAGUUCUUAUGUGAUAUCAAAUGAAAUGUCUGUGUGAGCAUAAUGUCAUAGUUCAUAUGUGACAUCAAGUGAAAUGCCUGUGUGAGCACAAUGUCAUAGUUCUUAUGUGAUAUCAAAUGAAAUGUCUGUGUGAGCAUAAUGUCAUAGUUCUUAGGCCUAAAAAAAAAGUU